rnacentral:rRNA from 1 species
UACGUAGGGACCGAGCGUUGUCCGGAUUCAUUGGGCGUAAAGAGCUUGUAGGCGGUUUGUCGCGUCUGCUGUGAAAUUUCGGGGCUCAACCCCGAACUUGCAGUGGGUACGGGCAGACUAGAGUGAUGUAGGGGAGACUGGAAUUCCUGGUGUAGCGGUGAAAUGCGCAGAUAUCAGGAGGAACACCGGUGGCGAAGGCGGGUCUCUGGGCCGAAACUGACGCUGAGGAGCGAAAGCGUGGGGAGCGAACAGG